rnacentral:tRNA from 1 species
UCUAUUGUGGCAGAUUUUAAUGCAAUAAAUUUAAGAUUUAUUUAUAGAUUUAUUCUCUUUAGAA